AACGCAAGUUGCGCCCGAGGCCCUACGGCCGAGGGCACAUCUGCUUGGGCGUCGACAGUGGUUGGGGCGCGGUGUUGAUUAGCAGGUCAACCCGCGCCCGUGCACGUUGGUCGUCCGUGCGCCGUAUGUAGCGCGCGGUUGGCUGAAAUUGAUCGGGUGCGAGGCGUUGGAGCCCCAACAAGUCGGUGGUUGUGAAGGCCGCAAGGCCGCGAUUGUCGGAAAGUUGCGAAGCUCCACCACCCCGCCGCCCCAUUAGUACCCCGACGUGCAUGCCAUGCGUGCAUGCACAUGGAUCCCGACCCCAAGUCAGGUGGGACUACCCGCUGAGCUUAA
rnacentral:misc_RNA from 1 species